rnacentral:lncRNA from 1 species
CUCCCCUACAAACCUGCAAAGUGCUACAUCAUUUCGAAUGUGCUCCUGCUAAUGUCUGCCCUGAAAGGUCUGAGGUACCAUGCCUGCUGCAGCCUCAGUGCCAAGGAUGUUUAUGGCCCUCAUCUUCAGGUUCCUGGGGGAGAUAUAAUACUCUCGCAACUUGAAAGAGACUAACUACUCUGUGGGAGUGCUUUUCUGUCUAAUCUCUGACCAGGAACACAUCAAAAGGAAAAGAGCCCUGAGGUUUGCUGACAACAAAGCCAAUGAAAGGCAAAUACCCAGAACUGGCCUGUGGAGUUGUUUGAGUUUCAUGUUUAAAGGCUACAGUGGUAAGAGAAGAAAAAAUAAUCAAAAGCAAAAGGAAAGGCAAAUGGAUAUAAGCCUACAUUUAAAAUGAUGCAUGAGAAUUGAAGAAGACUCAAGAAGGCCGAGGAAGAGCCCUCCUAAGCCUCCUACCACCUCCCUCCAGUCCAAGGUUCCUUUUGUCCCUGGCUUUCUCUGCUACGAGAAGAUGUAUGAGUAUUGUUCCCAUCAUUCUCACCAAUACAGCAUCAGUGACAGAGGAUGCCUUGGGCCAGCUGUGGCUGCUUCCAGCGACAGUGACCUCACUACUCGCAGUUUUUGCUGGAGCAUCUGCAUUUUUUUUCUGUACCUCUCCCCGAGACAUGAGCAUUGUGUGACUCCACUGUAAACUGACAAUAAAAGAGACGAAUUAGCCUAACUGACUGUUUCAGUUAUGAAGAUUAAA